CUAUCACCACCCUUGGUAUCACUCGCACUAGGACAAUGCAUAAAAUUCAUCAGGAUCCUAGUCAACAAUUUUCCACCUUCAAUGUGCACGACCAUGCUUCAGAUCUAGAGACAGAUAAUUCUGCAAGAAAAAAGGGUAGACAGGAAUUUGACAAGCCUCUACAAGAGGAAAUUUAUACCAAACCUACUGAGUUGAACGUCAGUACUGCUAAAUAUACGGUUUCACCAGGUUCAGUGAGAGAAAAUGGACAAUCAAGAGAAGUCAAUGUUGAUGUUAAACAAGAGGAUACCGAUCAGCACUUCCUUGAUAGAAGUCCUCAAUUGGGCACACAACAUGUGGGAAAAUUGUCAGAAACAUUUGAUCCUAGUGGUGGAGAUGGAGAAGAAAUAUUACUUGAAUCUGACAGUUCUAAGCAGGUGAAGAACAUCACAUUUCAGUCUUCACCUUCUGCUCUAUUCAAGAAGUUUGAUAAUAAUCCUCUGGGACAAAAUGAACAAGUUCCACAACAAAGCCCCUCAAAUAAAUCAUACGAAAAACAGGUUGCUGCAAAACCAAAUCUCAGAUGAAUUUCUACAUCAGAAAGGUGUUAAAGUUGCCAAAUCCUUUGGUCCAGAUAGCUCUGAGUUGAUUCAGUUGAAAUCUCUUGUUCAGGGGCAUAUUCCUUUCAUUAACCCUACUAAUAAUGUGAGUCCACCAUUAGCGUCACAGCAAUCUGCACCAAGUCUGAUUGCAGCUUCAGUCAGUCAAUCAACCCUUCAGAAUCAGAUGUGCUGCUUCAUAGUCAAUAUCAAAUAGCCGAUGAACAAUAUUCUCAAAAUAUUCAAACUCAAAAUGCCAUGGGCUCAGACUUCCACAUUCCAACUAUUUCUCAAGCAAAUGAAUUUCCGACAAGGCCUUCCAGUUCUUUAAUGGAUUAUCCUCAAUUGUAUCAACAAAAUGUGUUUCCACCUAGAAAUGACUUUGCUCAGCCCUCAUUGAUGCCUCUUUUGCAACUGGAGUUUAGUCAUCCACAAUCAGUUGACUUUAGCUAUCGUCCUUUAUAUCAUCCAGAAUCAUCUCGUCUACCUCCAAUAUGCUUAAAUAAAUACAAACACAAGUACCUGUGGGUGCUCCUCAGGAUAUAUCAUUCCAUCAUGAAACCCAGCUUCUGGGCCAAGAAGGUGAAAUCUUGGAUGCACAGCAGAGAGAACAUCACAUCCACCACAAGUCUUUUGUUCGUGAAGAUAUUCAAAUUCCAUCAUCAGGCCUAGUACCUAGCUCAUUUUAUCAUGGAACUCCUGUUCAUCUUAGGUCAUUACUAUUAGCAGGGGAAUCCUUUUCUAAUGUGCACUCUGUACCAGGGGAGCUUUGCAACCAAGGCUUCUUCCUAAGCAAGAUUUUUCCUCUGUCAAGGAUUUGCCUUAUUCCAACCAUGCUUAAGAUAUCCUUUGCUUGGCCACAUGACACAAGCAGUCAUUUUCCCUCAGUGCCUACUGGUCACAGCUUGGUUGAUCCCUUCGUACAGAAAAUCCUACCAGAAACUGAUCUGCCAACUCAAAUAUCUAGCAUUACCAUGCUUAAGAUGCCUAUCUCAAUGCACCAUAACCCGUUUGCGUCAACUUUUGAACAGAGGCCUGCAACUACAAGAUUAGGCUAUGAUGCUUCUGAUUUAGGGCCAAGACUAAAACCUUCACUACCAAAUUUCAGAUUGUCGGAGGAGCAGAGUUCACCAAGUAUUACUGGUUACACUCUUGAAACUUCAGGUGUCCCACCUCAUUUCCCAAGGAAAUCUGUCAGUGAGCUAGCAGGAGAUACCUUGUAUGAUCCAUUAUUUGAUAGCAUUGAACCUUCUGGCAUACUCAAGAAGUUAGUUCAUCCUCAGAAAGGGCAAUCUUCUACUGAUGUCAGUUCAGUAUUGAAAUUCAGUAGCUUGUCCACUACUGCAGAUGCUCCACACAACAUUAGAGGAUAGAAGGAUUGGGGCUAGUGAACUGAAGUCAGUAGUUGAUGACUUCAUUGAGGCGGCAACUUAUGCUGAAGUGGGGGUUGUGGAGAAUGAUAGCCCUCAGCUGAUCAAUGAAAAAGAUUGGAGUCCUGACAAUCUGGCUAAUACUGGUGCUGGGGAAAUUGAUACUGAUCAGGUUCAUUCACCUGGGAAGAAAGUUAAGUCUAAGGACUCAAGAUCGAUGAAGCUUUUUAAGAUUGCACUUGCAGAGUUUGUCAAGGAAGUCUUGAAGUCAUCAUGGAGACAGGGUAAUAUGAGCAAAGAAGCAUUCAAAACAAUUGUAAAGAAGACUGUGGAUAAAGUGUCUAGAUCAGUGGCCACCCGUCAGAUUCCUAAAACACAGGCAAAGAUUGACCAAUAUGUUGAAUCAUCCCAGAGAAAGCUGUUAUGGGCUAUGUUGACAAGUAUGUUAAGAUGUAAAUGAUCACCAUUCUAUUACAAGUUCUUUAUGAAUCAGAGGAUCUUGCUGCGGCAGGAAUAAAAUGGACCACUCCCAAUGAGAGAUAUCAGAUGGCGAGGCGAGACCAUAAUAUGAUCUUGGGAGCAUCUGGAGUAAUAUGAUGGUCAUACUCUCCUUGCAAGGGGAGGCUAUGGUUGAGACCCCUGGAGAAUGUCUUUACCCUCUCUGUUGUGGCUUGUGUAGGUGUUUUUUCACAAAUACUUUAGUGAUCCUCCAUGGCUCAAACAGUGAGAGUUUCAAACAGAGAACAUCGAUGAUGAGUGGAGACCGAUGAAGAUGAGAGCGACCCAGUUGGAUGCAAAGACUAGAAUUCCCUGAAAUGGUUGGGAGGACAUUUGCUAACGGUGAUUCGUUGCUGAUAUUGCAUGAUUUGGAAACACAAUGGAAAAGUUGCCUCAGAUAGGAUUUGAAUCAUGGAAUAUGAUUGUGAGUUUGAGAAUGUUAAACUAUUUAUACAUAUUUCAUAAAGUUAUUAUAUAAUUUACUAUUUUUAUGUACAAAAUUAGACUGUAUCAGCCCCAGUGGAUAUACUGAUCAAAUAGUAUGCCUUAAUCACUCAAUGCAUUUUUUUU